CUGCUUCCUCCUCUCUCUGCCUGCCUCUCUGCCUACUUGUGAUCUCUGUCAAAUAAAUAAAUAAUCUUUAAAAAGAAAAAAAAAACAUUUUGGUAGAAAUAUUCUGAGUUCUUCACUGACAAAGUUGCAGGAACUUAAAUGGCAUCUCUUACAUUGCACUUUCCUCCCACUAGGUUUUGAAACUUCUGUGUGUAAACUGACCUGUCAGGUGGGCUGUUUGGUGUAACCGCUUAGAGGUUCCAGCCCCAGGAGGAAUUUCAUAACAUUUUAUGAGGUGAAUAGGAUUAGUAGCAGGAGAGUAACAGGAAAAGUGGUUUACAAUCCCAGUCUCUGCUUUAGCUAGCAUACCGCUGAUCUAUGUUUAAAUUGUUUAUUUGAGAGGUUACUGUUUUUGAGACUUGAUAUUUGGAACUGCGGCCCAGAAAAAAAGUGUUGGAGCAUCUAGCAUUCCCAAAUGAAUGAAUGAGUAGAACUGUUACCAUCCUUUUUUUUUUUUUUUUUAAAGGAACAGUAAAGUUUCUUUAUAAGUAAACAUUUACGGAAACCCAAGUUUCCUUCAGGGAUUU